rnacentral:rRNA from 1 species
GAUGAACGCUGGCGGCGUGCCUAACACAUGCAAGUCGAGCGAACGGACGAGAAGCUUGCUUCUCUGAUGUUAGCGGCGGACGGGUGAGUAACACGUGGAUAACCCACCUAUAAGACUGGGAUAACUAUGGGAAACCGGCGCUAAUACCGGAUAAUAUUUUGCUCCGCAUGGUUCAACAGUAAAAUACGGUCUUGCUGUCACUAAUAGCUGCAUCAGCGCUGCUUUAUCUAGUUGUUAAGGUAACGGCUUUCCACGGCAGCUAUGCAUAGCCGACCUGUGUGGGUGGUCGGCCACACGGGAACUGAGACAGGGUCCAGACUCCUACGGUGAGAAGCAGUAGAGAAUCUUCCGCGAGGGGGGAGAGCCUGACGGAGCAACGCCGCGUGAGUGAUGAAGGUCUUCGGAUCGGAAAACUCUGUUAUUAGGUGGGAACAUAUGUGUAAGUAACUGUGCACAUCUUGACGGUACCUAAUCAAAAAGCCACGGCUAACUACGUG